rnacentral:rRNA from 1 species
GUUAAAAAGCUCGUAGUCGGAUUUCGGGGCGGGGCGACCGGUCUGCCGAUGGGUAUGCACUGGUCGGCGCGUCCUUCCUUCCGGAGACCGUGCCUACUCUUAACUGAGCGGGGGCGGGAGACGGAUCGUUUACUUUGAAAAAAUCAGAGUGUUUCAAGCAGGCGUCUCGCCUUUGCAUGGAUUAGCAUGGGAUAAUGAAAUAGGACUUUGGUGCUAUUUUGUUGGUUUCGAACACCGAAGUAAUGAUUAACAGGGACAGUCAGGGGCACUCGUAUUCCGUCGAGAGAGGUGAAAUUCUCAGACCAAUGGAAGACGAACAACUGCGAAAGCAUUUGCCAGGGAUGUUUUCACUGAUCAAGAACGAAAGUUAGGGGAUCGAAGACGAUCAGAUACCGUCGUAGUCUUAACCAUAAACCAUGCCGACUAGGGAUCGGAGGAUGUUAGAUUUGACUCCUUCGGCACCUUACGGGAAACUAAAGUCUUUGGGUUCCGGGGGGAGUAUGGUCGCAAGGCUGAAACUUAAAGGAAUUGACGGAAGGGCACCACCAGGAGUGGAGCCUGCGGCUUAAUUUGACUCAACACGGGGAAACUUACCAGGUCCAGACAUUGUAAGGAUUGACAGAUUGAGAGCUCUUUCUUGAUUCGAUGGGUGGUGGUGCAUGGCCGUUCUUAGUUGGUGGAGUGAUUUGUCUGGUUAAUUCCGUUAACGA